UCGUAGACGUUCAUGUGAUCGAAUGCGG
rnacentral:sRNA from 1 species